rnacentral:rRNA from 1 species
CGCGCAGGCGGCCUUUUAAGUCUGAUGUGAAAGCCCCCGGCUCAACCGGGGAGGGCCAUUGGAAACUGGAAGGCUUGAGUACAGAAGAGAAGAGUGGAAUUCCACGUGUAGCGGUGAAAUGCGUAGAGAUGUGGAGGAACACCAGUGGCGAAGGCAAUCCCCUGGGCCUGUACUGACGCUCAUGCACGAAAGCGUGGGGAGCAAACAGGAUUAGAUACCCUAGUA